CAAGUCGAACGACGCUAGGGGCAACUCUAGCGAGUGGCGAACGGGUGAGUAAUACAUCGGAACGUGUCCUGUCGUGGGGGAUAACCAGUCGAAAGAUUGGCUAAUACCGCAUGACCUCGCAAGAGAAAAGCGGAGGACCGCAAGGCUUCGCGCGAUUGGAGCGGCCGAUGUCGGAUUAGCUAGUUGGCGGGGUAAUGGCCCACCAAGGCGACGAUCCGUAGCUGGUUUGAGAGAACGACCAGCCACACUGGGACUGAGACACGGCCCAGACUCCUACGGGAGGCAGCAGUGGGGAAUUUUGGACAAUGGGGGCAACCCUGAUCCAGCCAUGCCGCGUGUGUGAAGAAGGCCUUCGGGUUGUAAAGCACUUUCGGCCGGAACGAAAUCGCCCGUGUUAACAGCGCGGGUGGAUGACGGUACCGGAAGAAGAAGCACCGGCUAACUACGUGCCAGCAGCCGCGGUAAUACGUAGGGUGCGAGCGUUAAUCGGAAUUACUGGGCGUAAAGGGUGCGCAGGCGGCUCCGCAUGUCGGGCGUGAAAUCCCCGGGCUUAACCUGGGAAUUGCGUCCGAAACUACCGAGCUGGAUUGUGGCAAAGGGAGGUGGAAUUCCACGUGUAGCGUUGAAAUGCGUAGAGAUGUGGAGGAACACCGAUGGCGAAGGCAGCCUCCUGGGCCAACACUGACGCUCAUGCACGAAAGCGUGGGGAGCAACAGGAUUAGAUACCCUGGUAAUCCACGCCCUAAACGAUGAUGACUAGUUGUUGGAGGAUUUAAUCCUUUAGUA
rnacentral:rRNA from 1 species